rnacentral:rRNA from 1 species
UACGGAGGGUGCGAGCGUUGUCCGGAAUCAUUGGGCGUAAAGGGCGCGUAGGUGGCUCGUCACGCGUGCGGUGAAAGUCGGGGGCUCAACCCCCGAUCGGCCGUGCGAACUGGGGGGCUUGAGCACUGUAGAGGCAGGCGGAAUUCCGGGUGUAGCGGUGGAAUGCGUAGAGAUCCGGAAGAACACCGGUGGCGAAGGCAGCCUGCUGGGGAGUUUAGCUGACACUGAGGCGCGAAAGCGUGGGGAGCAAACAGG